UUUUCUCCGAGCUCUGAGUCCUUCUCGGCGUUUGUCCGAGGGCUCUCCACGCAGCGCUCGAAAGAAUAGACUUUUCGCCAUUGGUAUCACAUUGAGACGCUGCAUUUUCCAUUCUUGGACCGGGCGAUUCUGUUUGGGGGAGCCGAGCUUUGGCUGAAAGGACUUCUAGAUCUGUACAGAACAGGAUAUUUUCUGUGUCCUUCCCUGCUCUGCUCAUGCCUACCACAGGAAUAGGACUUCCUAAUAAUUUGCUGAAAGAAUUAAAGAAUAAGCCAGACCUGAAAUAAACCAGUACCUCCAGUACCUCCAAUAAAUGAAAUAGAAGAGGACUCCAUAUAACCCUGUAUUAAGAGGAAUGGAGAUUGCCUCUGUCCACUUAGAUUCAUAAGCUGUCCCGAAGUGAUCUUGGCAUCAGGGAAGGGAGUGUUCAGGCACAUUUCACCAUCAGCAUCACGGGAUGGCAGCCAUUGAUUUGUCCCAUGGCCUUCUUUCUAGAGAGCCUAUCUACGUCUACGAAGC
rnacentral:lncRNA from 1 species